CCUCGGGAGGCAGCAGUGGGGAAUAUUGGACAAUGGGCGAAAGCCUGAUCCAGCCAUGCCGCGUGUGUGAAGAAGGCCUUCGGGUUGUAAAGCACUUUCAGUGGGGAAGAAAGCCUUGGGGCUAAUACCCUCGAGGAAGGACAUCACCCACAGAAGAAGCACCGGCUAACUCCGUGCCAGCAGCCGCGGUAAUACGGAGGGUGCGAGCGUUAAUCGGAAUUACUGGGCGUAAAGCGCGCGUAGGCGGUCUGAUAAGCCGGUUGUGAAAGCCCCGGGCUCAACCUGGGAACGGCAUCCGGAACUGUCAGGCUAGAGUGCAGGAGAGGAAGGUAGAAUUCCCGGUGUAGCGGUGAAAUGCGUAGAGAUCGGGAGGAAUACCAGUGGCGAAGGCGGCCUUCUGGACUGACACUGACGCUGAGGUGCGAAAGCGUGGGUAGCAAACAGGAUUAGAUACCCUUGUAGUC
rnacentral:rRNA from 1 species